GUAGUCCACGCCGUAAACGAUGGAUACUAGCUGUUGGAGGUAUCGACCCCUUCAGUAGCGAAGCUAACGCGUUAAGUAUCCCGCCUGUGGAGUACGGUCGCAAGACUAAAACAUAAAGGAAUUGACGGGGACCCGCACAAGCGGUGGAUCGUGUUCUUUAAUUCGAUGAUAAACGAAGAACCUUACCAGGGUUUGACAUCCUUGGAAUUUCUGUGAAAGCAGAGAGUGCUUUAUUGAGCCAAGUGACAGGUGCUGCAUGGCCGUCGUCAGCUCGUGUCGUGAGAUGUUUGGUUAAGUCCAUCAACGAGCGCAACCCUUGUGAAUAGUUGUAUUUUUCUAUUCAGACUGCCCCGGUAACGGGGAGGAAGGAGGGGAUGAUGUCAGGUCAGUAUUGCCCUUACACCCUGGGCUAGAAACACGAUACAAUGGUUAGUACAAUGCGCAGCAAAACCGCGAGGUGGAGCAAAUCGCAUCAAAGCUAAUCUCAGUUCGGAUAAGAGGCUGAAACUCGCCUCUUUGAAGUCGGAAUCGCUAGUAAUCGCAGAUCAGCAAGCUGCGGUGAAUACGUUCCCGGGUCUUGUACACACCGCCCGUCAAACCAUGAAAGUCACCAACACCCGAAGUCCGAUUCGUCGGCCUAAGGUNGGGGGGAUGAUUGGGGUU
rnacentral:rRNA from 1 species